rnacentral:rRNA from 1 species
AGUGAACGCUGGCGGUAGGCCUAACACAUGCAAGUCGAACGGCAGCACAGUAAGAGCUUGCUCUUACGGGUGGCGAGUGGCGGACGGGUGAGGAAUACAUCGGAAUCUACUUUUUCGUGGGGGAUAACGUAGGGAAACUUACGCUAAUACCGCAUACGACCUACGGGUGAAAGCAGGGGAUCUUCGGACCUUGCGCGAUUGAAUGAGCCGAUGUCGGAUUAGCUAGUUGGCGGGGUAAAGGCCCACCAAGGCGACGAUCCGUAGCUGGUCUGAGAGGAUGAUCAGCCACACUGGAACUGAGACACGGUCCAGACUCCUACGGGAGGCAGCAGUAGGGAAUAUUGGACAAUGGGCGCAAGCCUGAUCCAGCCAUACCGCGUGAGUGAAGAAGGCCUUCGGGUUGUAAAGCCCUUUUGUUGGGAAAGAAAAGCAGCAGGUUAAUACCCCGCUGUUCUGACGGUACCCAAAGAAUAAGCACCGGCUAACUUCGUG